CGAGAGCGCCCGUCGGCCGUGGGAAAAUCUCCCGUCCCUGCGUCUCGGCGGGGGGUGACGGGGCCGUAUAAACCCGCCGGCACGUCCCGGGCUGGGAGCUGCGGCAGGGAGAAGCCAGGCGAUUCCCUGGCCCUUUGCUGAAACGUAAGAAGCAGAAGAGGGUUUUCAAGCUGCAAAAAUGAAAAAAAAGCCUAUUUUUUUUCCCCAGGGCAGCGGACCCUGCGGGGCCGGCCGGAGGAGGCAGCGGCGGGCGCCGGCUCCGGAGGAUGCGGGGAAGGAGCCACGGUUUGGGGAUCUCCCCGGCCACGCACCGGGGGCAGCCUGAGCAACCCUACCUGCGGCCAGCCAUCUCCCAUCCCCAUCUAGGCCAAGUUUGACCAGAGGAGAGGUCAAGCAUCCUAGAACCUGCCAGAAACACAAGAAAACACGCUGGAAACAGUGAACUUUGUUGCAGUAUGAAAAUCAAAUGCAAAGCUCGGUGGGUAUUUUUAGCUGUUUAAGGCUGAACAGGUGUUUGAAAGGUCAGAUGCGAGUCAUUGGAAAAAAAAUAUGUAUUGCUCUUGAGAGCCUGGCAGCAUGGCCUUGGUGCUCCCAUGGCACUGGAUGGUCGCAGCGUGGCAGCCGUUGGCCGUUUGGCUCUGCCGAUCGUUCGGCCCACGUCCGAUGGGUGCUUUGGCUCGCGUGCCCCCCCCCCCAAACCCACCCCCCAAGUGCAACACACAACGUUAGCACCCAACCGGGCAUCUCAGCGUUGGCUCGGUUGCUCGUCGGUCCUGAUGCGGGCAGGGGUCAAGGGACGUGGAAAGGUCCUGGGGUGGUUUGGAGCUGGUCUGGCCUGGUUGAGGUCUUGUGUGUCCUGGCCAGCGCGUGCACAGGGCCGGCAGGGGUGUUUGGGGAGGGGGGUGAGCGUAGAGAGGCUUCCUUCUGCUGGAUGUGGGGCUCGGGGGGGGGGUGUGAGGCUUUCAGAUGGCUUUUUCCGUGAGAAAUUUUUUUUUCUUUUUUCCUUUUCAAGGAAUAAAGGAAGUCUGUCAUCCUUAAAACAAAAUUGCAUGUGGUUUUAAUUAGCAAAAAUGUAAGACCACAGAAAGAAAGGGCCUGUCUCUUGAGGAGGACCCAGAUGACAUGUCUGUGGUGAGCCUGGGUUGUGACCACCUUGGACUUGGCCAUGACCAACCUGAACCUGGCCAUGACCAACCUGGGCCAUGACCACCUUUGACUUGGCCAUGACCAACCUGAACCUGGCCAUGACCACCUUUGACUUGGCCACGGCCACCUUUGACUUGGCCACGGCCAACCUAGACCUGGCGAUGGCCAAGCACGCGCCCAGAGGCGAGAACCGCUGCAUGUUGCCGGCGGGGCAGCAUUUCUCUUCCCUGUUGUCUCACCGAGGUCACCGGGUUCAGGCAGGUGACGAGCUCCUUCCAAUGUGAGUCACGGCAAAGGUAAAUGGAGAGGAUGAGGUGGGGCAACUUGCCUGUGCAGGCCGGUGGGCUCCCGAACGCCAACGGGAUCCAAGAGCCAUGGCGGAGCGGGGCCGGCAGCUGCCAGAGCCUCGGCUGGGCAAUAAAGCCUUUUUUUUUUUUUUUUUUUGAGUUAAAGAAGCCCCCAAAAUAGCACCUGAAACCAAUAAACUUCCCUUUCAGGAACUUCUGUAAUUUGAAACAUACAUAAGAACAAAAAAAAAAAAAAAAAAUCCAGAAUUUUUUUCAAGUUGUUUGUCAAGUAGGACCUUUGGGUUUGUUUUGAAAUACGUUUCAGCCGGUGGGUGCUGGGGUGCGGGAGCGCUCGGCACGGCGGCACCCAGGGCGGGCUGCAGCUUCCCAGGGACUUCUCCAUCUGCUUUCCCCCCCCGCCCCCAAUUUCUUCCUGCCUUUCAGCUUUUCCAGCUGACGCACAGUCCCACCGCAUUGCGUCACGCAACCCAAACCCCGGCCGCCCAGCUGAUAUUUCGGAAGAAAGUGGCUAAAAAUAUCCCACACACCCCCCCCGCGCCCGGUGCACGAGGUGGGCCAGCAGCUCGUCUCCUUUGAGCAAGAGAAAAAAAAUAAAAACAAUCAAGCCUUGAGCCCGCAACCACGCUCAACAGCUUGGUCAGCGCCUGCGGCAUCGCCGCAGACCUUCGAAAUGGGAAUUAAACGGGACGCCGGGCAAGGAGGGGGCAAAAGCAGCUCAGGUGUGAUCAUCUCCUAAAAAAAUAUUGGACGUUCCUGCAGGUGCCACCUUCCCCCCGCCGCCCCGGUGCUCUCCCUCCCUCCCAUAUCAAUCCUCUUAUUUUACUAAUCAGCCUUUAAAACAAUUUACCGGGGUCUCGCAAAAGCAGCAGGCAGGGCCCCGGUCCAAGGGGAGCGACCCGAGCCGUCCCACGCUCCUUCCUGCCACCUCCCCGCCUGCUUCAGGGACCUCCGCCAUCACCUCUUACCUCCUCCUCCUUUUAUGCCAAAAGCCGUAUUGGAGCGAUGGCAGCAGAAUAUUGUUCCGAUGCCGUCAGUUAUCUGCUGUUAGAUAAAAAGAAAAAGCAAGAGGAGCGAGGCAGGGACAGGCAGGGCUGGGAGCGUCCCCUCCCUCCUCCCCGGGGCACCCGGCCAUCAGAACAGGCAUGGGGGGCAAAGGCAGGAGGAAGGCGGGAGGGUAAUUUUUACGAGCAGAUUUUGAUCUGAUUUUAAAAUAAUUAAAAAAAAAAAUUAAUAUAAAGGAAAAAUAUGUAACUAAAAUAAUAGAACUACCAUAAAAUAAUAAAGUAAAAAAUAAUAAUACACAAAUAAUAAAAUAAUACACAAAAUAAAACCCCCACACUUCUCCAAACUUAAUACCUCUGAAAACCGCCGAGGGACAGGGAGUG